rnacentral:sRNA from 1 species
GCUCAGAACGAACGCUGGCGGCGUGCCUAACACAUGCAAGUCGAACGAGAAAGUGGGGGCAACUCCAUGAGUAAAGUGGCGUACGGGUGAGUAACACGUGACUAACCUACCUUCGAGUGGGGAAUAACCUCGGGAAACCGGGGCUAAUACCGCAUAACACCGAGAGGUCAAAGCAGUAAUGCGCUUGAAGAGGGGGUCGCGGCUGAUUAGCUAGUUGGUAGGGUAAUGGCCUACCAAGGCGACGAUCGGUAGGUGGUCUGAGAGGACGAUCACCCAGACUGGGACUGAGACACGGCCCAGGAUACCUACGGGAGGCAGCAUUCCGAUCUGNCAUAAAACUCGAGCCAU